CGACCACGGCUUCUCCGACCGCGGAAAGACCCCCCGAACCCUGACCCAUGCCCACAAGGGCCAUGCCUUACGGCGAGCACAGCGAGGAAGAUUUUUUUACCCCUGCACUGCCACCAGGAAAUUCGUCCCCUGCGGGGAUCGAACCACGGCCGGCAGGCAGGGGGCGCUACUGAGCCCUGCUAGCCAGUCGGCCGGCAGGAGAAGUGUUAUGAUAGUAGGCGAUCAUGAUAGCGAGAGCCUUAUCGUAGCUUUGUCAAUCUCAAAAUUUGCUGGUUUAAUUUCUUGAAGGUGCUUAUAGGAGUAUGAUUGCAUGCGAGUAUGUGAAGGUUUGAGCUUGUAUUGUGCUUAAAAAAUGGUUAUAUUGUUACUGUAUGCUUCUAUCGUACCCUAUUUAUAAAUAAAACCGAAUGCAGAUUACAUGUGUACCAGGAUCAGUUAUUCAUACACGUGACUAUUACAAGAGUGAAUCAUAGCAAAUGUUAUUACAUAAACUGUAGACUUCAUUUUAAAAAUGAUCUGUUUGGUCUGAAAGAUAAAUACAUAGAUAUAUGGAAAUCCCCAACAUAAUGAGACUCCAUAUCCACUGGUAGUUGACUGAAAGAUAAAUACAUAGAUAUAUGGAAAUCCCCAACAUAAUGAGAUUUCAUUUUAAAAAUGAUCUGUCUGGAUCGAAGUUCACCUCAUCCGGUGGGUCUGGGGGAUAGCGGGGAAGAAGAAGGGGUGAGUACAACCAAUUUUACUAUAUGUCGUGUAUCAAUAUUAGGGAUACCCGAGAAUAGAGGAAGAAGUGCCAUGUGUCCGGAUCAGUCCGGGGGAUUAAGCUGCUAAGCCUGCCUCGCCCGACCCUGGGGGAAAGAAUCCGCCUCGCCCGACCCUUGAGGACGGGCUCGCUUCCAGCUGACUUUGCGGGGUGGGGCCUGGCUGCGCCCGACCAUCACGAGGAGCACUCCGCCUCGCCCGACCCCCCUGAGGGACUCGAGCUCACUCGUCCACAUAAGUGGGGCCCUCAAGGCUUCGUGCCAUAUAUAUCUACUGACCAACGAGGAUGUGGAUGACCAUGCAGGGGACACACUGACAAAAGAAUAGCGGAGCGCACGCCUCUACACACCUAUGGAUACGAUGGGCUGUAGUGUAGAGGCAUGCGCCACCCAUAUGGAUCGCGCAGCGAGGACCUGGUGGCGUGCGCCUCUGACAUCUGCACGCCUUGCGUGGCGGAUUGUGCAGCAAGGAGGACCCGGUGGCGAAGAACAAAGGCGGUGACGACAGAGCCAAUGGGGCCCACACAUGACGGUGGAAGCAGCACCGGCGGAACAGGUGGGCCCCCAUAUCUGGGAAGGUGGCAGUGGGAUUGCAAGAGAUCUUCUCGUACUCCUCUUUGAGGCGCACACACGAUCUCUCUCUCUCUCUCUACUCCUUGAUCUUGUACACCGGCCCUUUCCCUUGGCUUAUAAAAGGGAAAGGGAGGCGCCUCGCACGGGCAAGUGGACAUCCGAACGUAGACGUCUGACCUCGACCCAACUACGAUUGUUCAAGAACACCCACAUACGCAAAGACUCUUGACACCAUAGAUUUGGGACCUCGGCUCCCUUUCUAGCCUGUUUGUAACCCUCUACUGCAAAUAAGUGCAAGAUACACGAGCUGCCAUGAACUACACAUAGGGACAUUCCGUCCGAACCAGUAUGUGUGUCUUCUUUCACACACUAUCUGAGUCAGACACGCAAAGCACAAGAUUUACUAGCUAGUAGGUGGUUCUAAUCACCAAAAGUUAGCGCACUAGGUAGGGGCCUUUUGCACAUCUCGUUUGUUUUUUAGCCGGCUACGAAUGGAAAGCCACGCUGGAGGAUGGCUUCUCGGGCACACUCGUGUGUUUCACCGACCUAGACUUCAUCGUCAACACGGAGGGCAAACUAGAGUGGAUCUAUGCUCCCAUUUGGACCACCAACACCAUCAGCACUGACCCCGUCGACGAGGCUCUACAGAACAUGCAGCUGCGUGCUCCGAAGGCCCACACCCCUUGCAAGCGACCAGCACCUCAGCCUCGACUGCGAGAGCAUGGAGCACCAACUUGGUGCCUUCCUAGGCCCUCGACCGGCCUUGGAGGAUCUGCAACGUGUUCUUCACUCUUUUGCCAACGUCGUGGUGCAGCUCUCUGGAGGAGAACCGCUCUCCCCAGAAAUCCUCACCAAAAUUUGUCAUGGCAGUGUUUCCAUUCGGCCCGCGCAGUGCUGCGUGGGCUAUGCAGUGGUGCUGGUUGGUUGCCCACGAACAUCAAGUUUGUGGGCAUGACUAUGUCUUUUGAAUCCUUCCACAAUCUCCUCGCGGGGGAAUUGGAUAAUAUCUCUCCAACUCCAGCAAUGGGAGCCAUCACCUCUCGCGUGAGUGUUUCAUGGCGAACACUCCUGAUGGGCAUGUCGGCGAUGAUGAUGAUGGGGAGGCCACUCCCCCAAUCAACCCCGGCAAUGAAACCGGGAGGGGGGCGAAUGCCCCGCCGGCCCCACGGCGCGAGCAUCCGUGGGAGAGAUAGAAGGAGCUUGACAAGGCGCAGCUCCAGCUAGACCAGGAGCGCACCGAACUCGAGCACGAGCUAGGCUGCCAUGGGGAUGGCGGGCGAGCGCUCACCCAUGCCCAAGUGGUAAAUCAGUGAAUCCAAGAGGACUGCAGAGGUCUCCCGAACUUCGCCCGAGCAAGUUAGAACAUCUCUAUAGCGGUGGCGGCUCUUGAAGCGCUACUGGAGACCGUGAAGUUCCUGCAGUAGGCUGAGAGCAAGACCUCUUGGUGAUGCAUGUUGUGACAAUCCCAGCGUCCUCAGCCUGGGAAUGUGUCAAGAACAUCUCCAUCAACCAGGCGCUACAUGAGCGCCAAGCGCCCGUCAAGGCCCCCAUCAAGGGUCGUGUUGGUGUCAACUGAGACGCACAUCUCACCCUGGAUGCCCAAAGGAGCGGGCAAGAGCAGGACUAGGGUGAGGGAAGCCGCUGCCAUCACCCUCGCCAUGGGGGACGCUACAACAGCCCAGGGUGUUUGGUUCGUGAAUCCGCAAUGCGGCAUUCCCGCAGCGGUAUCAACCCUUGACCAACAUCCCGAGGUAGGCCGGGGAAUCGAACCCUACCCUCUGUCUCAAGGAUUACCGGCUGCCUACCGAGCCAACGGCAUGGAUAGUGACUACUUCUUUAUCUGGUACUCUCCAUUGUUCCUAGCCGACUCGGUGCGGACAUGGCUCAAACACCUUCAAGCCGACCAGAUUCAGAACUGGUCGGAACUCAAGGAGGUCUUCGUGGUAAACAUCAAAGGAAUGUAUGAGCGCCCCAAAAACUCAUGGAAUCUAAAAAACCAAUGAUCAAAGAAAGGGGAAACUCUCCAUGAGUACAUCCGGCACUUCUCCAAGCAGUGCAAAAUGCUGCCCAACAUCGCCGAUGAUGACAUCAUUGGAGCAUUCCUGUUCGGGACUACCUAUGAGUCCCUGGUCCACAAGCUCGGGCGCAAGGGCUGGAGGACCACCAAGGCGCUCCACAACAUCGCCCCAAGCCACGCAUCACACGAGGAGGUGGUCGUUGCCAUAUCAUAUUUGACCACGCCAAGGGAAAUGCUAGGCGGGAGGAGUGCACCAGCGAGGACGUGCUCAACCACUCUCGCAAGAAGAAGAACAAGAGCGGACUGGGCGCUCCCUUGUUGCCGCCACCAAAUGCAUAAGAGGAUGGGCGCUCACCGUGGACACCCCGACCACUUCGAUAGGAGGCUUGAGGGGGGGUGCCCGAACCAUGCCUACCCGGUCAAGCACGCAUACAAGGACUGCUUUCUCAUGAAGUAGUUCAUGUCUUGUGGCCCCAACAGGGGGGAGAAGAAGAAGAAGACUGAGCCAGCUAUGGGUGACACUAGGGGAAGGAUGGCGGUGUCGGUGUUUUACCGUCGGGUUCUCCGAGGGGUAUCCCGAGGAGAGUGGUUAUGAGUAGGUACUCACCGAGAUCAGAACGCAAUGGUGCAAGGAACACAAGGAUUUAGACAGGUUCGAGCCGCCGGAGCGUAAUACCCUAUGUCUUGUGUGAUGGUUUGUAUUUACUCUGGUAUUGUUCGAUGUUUUGGAGGGGUCCCUGUUCGCCCUUAUAUAAUUUGGGGGAACAGGGUUACAUGAAAGGUCCUAGUCGAGUUCUAUUAGGAUUCUAGUCUGAGAGGUUCGGCUAGUUCCCGAGACCGUCGACUAGUUCUACUCCUAUUCGGGUAGAUACAAAAGAGGUAAGGCAUAACCAUGUACUACUCCCUACUCUAGAAUAUUUUGUGCCCAUGGGCAGUCCCGCUGUCCCAGGUCUGACAAGCCCCCGAGCUAUUCGUAGUCGAGUUCUGCAGGCAUUGAGCACUUCUGAAGAUGUUCAUCGGGUACUUCGAGAGUUCUUCGACUUCCGUCUGCGCAGCCGGGCGCUUCAGGUGCUUUCCAGGGCAGGUUGUCCAUCCUCGGAGUCCAUCGAGGGCUUCGUGUGGUCUUCCCAGUGCUUCUUUGGCUGCAUCGAGGCUAUGAGGUGCGCAAGCCCCGAAUUUGCUCUGGUAUAUGGUGCGCGAUGUACUCGCGCUCCAUAUGGAGUAGCCCCCGAGCCUUAGGUCGAUUUGAUGGGUCGGGCUGAGGAUCUACUUGGUUUUUCUGGGUUCUUCGAUCUUCUGUUUGAAGUCUGGAACUUUUUUUUCAGGCCUCCUUCUAAGAGGCAGACGGUGGGCUCCAUAGUGAGUCCUGCCGACUCGACUCCUGCCGCGCCGGCUGAGUCAGGAGGGAGCGGCUCUGCUAGGGGGCAGAGCACUUCGGGGCAGACCGUGGUCCCGAAGUUUUCCAAGGCGAAGAGAUUCGUUCUGAAGCACUCCUCUCACACUCCCGAUGCUCUUGGGUUUGAUGAGUCGGAGAAAGGGGUUUUGAUUCCCUUAAGAAUAUUGCCCAGCUGCCUCCUAGUUCUCCGAAGGAGGGCGAUCAGUUGGGCGACUCCGCAGUUGGCGCGGAGGGUAAUCUUGCCGUCGGGGAGGCGGACAAGAAGUAUCCUGCUGCUAGCGCUGACAAGCAAGCUGAGGGUCCACCAAAGAGUCAUGCGGCCACUGGCAGUGUUGACCUGAUCCCACCAGAUGUGCCGCGGUAGAAGGUGGAGGAGCCAGUCGAGGGGUCGACUAUUGUAGCCCGGGAGAUUCUGGGCUGUCAUUCUGCUCUUGUUAGUCUGGCCAGUCAAGUCGUGGAGCAGGCUGAGUUCCUAUGUCGGACUGGCGAGGAUAUCCAGCUGAUGGCUGACCAGUCGCUUUAGCUUGAAAAGGUGGCUGCUCUUGAAAGGUCUUCUCAGGAGCAGUCAGAGAAGGUCAAGCUGUUGGAGGCCCGGGUGGAGACCUUGGAGCAGGAUAAUUCUUCUUUAAAGGAGAAGGCCUCCAAGCUGCAGGAGAAGGUCAAGGCAGCUGCCAAGGAGAAAAAAAGGUAUUUUCUUCUUGCUUCUGAGUCCCUCGAGUAGUUUUCUUCUGUUCUCAUGUUUUCCUUGCUUUGACAGAGCUUAAGAGCUUGUUGUUGCGAAAGGAUAAUGAGGUGACUGAUCUGACCAAUAUUAUGUAUCGUCACACAGAUGCUGUGGAGAAACUGACCAAGAUCAAAACUAAUGCCGACAAGCAGACGGUCAGUGAUAUGAAGCAGAUUAGGGAGCUAUCCCAGCAGCUGGCUGAGCAGCUGGCUGAUCUUGGAGCGGCGGCUCAAGUAGUCAUCGACAUGGUUGAGGAUGAGGAAGCUGGUGGUAAAAGUCUGCUAGAUCAUCUUCGAGAAGCCCCCCAGCGACUUAGUAGCUUCUUCUCUGAUACCUCUAGGGACUACCUAGCCCAUACUUUAGGAUUAGCUAAAUCCUUUCUCCCUUUAGUGAACUUGUCCUUUAUUGGCGAUGGGGUUGCCGUAGGCUGUUUGGAGGAGUGAUUCUCUGAAUAUGUCGCGGAGAUGAAGCCCAUCGCUGAUAAGGUUAUCAAUAGCCUGGAGCUAGUGCCAGAGGCUUAAACAGUUGUUGUAA